UGCGGCGUAGUCGAGAGGCCUCAGACACCAGCCUUUGAAGCUGGGGACGUUGGUUCGAACCCAACCGCCGCAGCCA
rnacentral:tRNA from 1 species